UCCGAGCGUGUGCGGGGCUGGAGCGCGGUGGGACGCGUGGCGGCGGCGGCGGCGGCGGCGGCCCCGUCCCCGCGGAUUGUUGGCUGGCGGUGCGGAUGGACGGACGGGCCACAACGCAUGUCGCCCUUCGCCUGCUGAACUCAGAGCGCUCGAGGAUGUCGGCGCUGAGGAAGGUCUGUAUGAGCUGUUGGCUGUUGUGCCAGGCCGGCUGGGGCCACGUGUGGACAGCCAGGAAGACCUGACCUUCCUCUGGGAUAUGUUUGGUGAGAAAAGCCUGCAUUCACCGGUAAAGAAGUUACUCGUCGAGCACCAUUUUCCUUUAGAUCUUCACAAUAUCCUGGGUAGCCUUAGGUUGUGAGGUGGAAGUCUCUACUCUUCUGUGGGUAAGUUUAUGAAAGACUGAAGUUCGUUUGUCCUUUAGCAGAACUGACUUGUUGGGUUCCUUGGGCCUGGAUG
rnacentral:lncRNA from 1 species